rnacentral:rRNA from 1 species
AACGAACGCUGGCGGCAUGCCUAACACAUGCAAGUCGAACGAAGCCUUCGGGCUUAGUGGCGCACGGGUGCGUAACGCGUGGGAAUCUGCCCUUGGGUUCGGAAUAACAGUUAGAAAUGACUGCUAAUACCGAAUGAUGUCUUCGGACCAAAGAUUUAUCGCCCAAGGAUGAGCCCGCGUCGGAUUAGCUAGUUGGUGAGGUAAAGGCUCACCAAGGCGACGAUCCGUAGCUGGUCUGAGAGGAUGAUCAGCCACACUGGGACUGAGACACGGCCCAGACUCCUACGGGAGGCAGCAGUGGGGAAUAUUGGACAAUGGGGGCAACCCUGAUCCAGCGAUGCCGCGUGUGUGAAGAAGGCCUGAGGGUUGUAAAGCACUUUAGUUGGGGAGGAAGAAUCCAGAGAUGAAUAAGCUAUGGAAAUGAGUUACCCAAAGAAUAAGCACCGGCUAACUCUAGUGCCAGCAGCCGCGGUAA